UAGAUGGAAGCAGGCGUAUUCCGUAAGCCUGUAAACAGUUAGCAAUGCUAGCUCAUGCUUGAUUGUUUGAAAGAUGAUGCAAUGCGGUAAUUAUAAUGGUAACAGAUCAAAUAUUGCUUUGAAGCAGUCAACACUAAUAGAACUGAAAACUUCGUUUGGUAAUGCGCUCCAUGGGUUCGCUUCAACUUCUUGCAAAAAAAAAACACACGAGAAUUUAUUGUCGAUUUCACGAUAAAAGCGCCACUCUUUUAGGUAGUAUUUGACUUUGAAGUAAAUAAUCAGAGCUUUGCAUUUUUUAGACAAAUAAGCAACUUUGCCACUACCAGCACCUGAAUAGUUAUCAAAUAUUUGAGUUUUUGUAUCUUUGCUGCACUCAAUACGUGUAAUUUACUACACUCGAUAUGUGUGGUUUGAAGAACUGUGGAUCAGUAGGGGGCUCAAAAAAUUUCCAUAAAUCUGAGCUAAAGAAUUUCAAAGUUAAUCAUCAGAGUCAGAGCGAGAAACUUUAUAUCUUACAGUGAAGAGUGUGAUGUUCAACCUGAUUCGGUAAUAAUUACUGCUAACCGCUCUUUGUGACCAGUUGUUUUGAGUCAAAAAGAUCAAGAUGUAAUUAUUUAAAAAAUAAAAACCCAGCACAAAAGCAGUUUUCAAAAGUAGGUAAUUGUCCUUUCUUUCUUAAAACAGAGGAACAAGGGAUCAAUGGAGGAAACUCCUAAUUUUUUUUGUUAGGUUAUUUAGGUGCUCCUAGAAGUCCUUACGGUCUUAUCACGGAAUACCGCGGGACACCAUUUACUAGAAGUUUUCGCCUCCUUCCUUACCAAUGUCGUUUAUUGGACUGGAGCCGGCGUCGAACCUCGGACCUCUAGUUUCUGAGCCAGAACUCUAACCACUUCGCCACGGCUGCUUAAUAAAUCGUGUGAAGCAGCAUCAAUCCAGCUAAAGUGCAGCUCUCGAAGAAAUCCAGAAUGGUAUCUACUUCACAAUCAUAGUCGAUUGUAUCUCAUACUGAGCAGAGAAUCUUUGUUAUUCGUUUUCUCCUCAUUUUCUCUGGAAGAGAAAUUAACUGCUGGAAAAUCAAAGAACGAUACUUGUGUGUUGAAACUUUUCAGAUGAAAAAAGAAGUUGAUAUAGCUAAACUAACCACUAAUGUAGUUUUAAGGCUGAGAAUGAAUGUUCAAAAAUGUCGAGGUCAGGGACACGAAAGUGGGACCAUUAUGUCAGGUGCUUACAAAGAAGCUCGAGCCUCUAAUAAGUUUUUUCAAUGAAAGAUUCUCACUGAAGCAACUUGGAUUUUACUGCAUAGACUUUCUAUGACAACACGGAGCUCUCUUUUCGACUUGAUCAAACCACUUGCCAAGAGAAAUGUUGGCAGCUGUUAAACAUGUCGUGAAAAUCUGUUUGACCAGUGAGUAACUGUUAGUCUUCUUCUACAAUCUGCAGCCAUUACCAUUAAUGAUGAUCUACAUUUGAUUGGACAGCUACUUGAAAAUCUUAAACGGGUCAGGGACACUUGGUUACGAAUUUUCUAAGAGACUGUAAUUGUAGCUAACUUUAUCUGAGAGAUGUAAAAAAAAAGAUUCUCAUUUAAGAAGUUUGCCGUUUUAA
rnacentral:lncRNA from 1 species